rnacentral:lncRNA from 1 species
UCUGUGGUGGUGAAAACUGAAAUUCUGUCCUACCUGGGGCAGGGGCUUCUCCCCUUGAUUAAUUGCAAAAUAAAUAUGCUCCCCUGCCGGGGGUCUGCUUUGCAGAGAAGGGCUCCCUGGCAAGUGUUCACACCUAGGCUUGUGGAAUGUCCCACACAAUAGUUCGUCACAAGGAGCAAAGAGGAGUAAAGCCAUCUGGGGAGAUGGUGAACAGUGAACACAGUGGGGGUUGUCAGAGGCGGGUCGUGUCUCAGGAUGUGGAAGAAAACGUAAGAUGCGCACAAGCCUCCCUCUCUCCUGUCUUCUCGGCUCCCGGGCGCCUUAACUGCUCCAUCUCACCCAACCGUCGCCACGGUACUCUUCUUAUUGCCACUUUACUGAUGAAGACUGAGGUUUUGAAGGGUUGGGAACCAGCCCAGCACCACAGAUGGCUAGUGGUGGGGCUGGCAUCCCACCUACCACGGUCUGCCUGCAGAUGCCUGGGUGUGCAUGCACGCACGUGUGCACGCACACCAGUUCUAGUAAGAAGGAAAAGUGUCGUUCCCUGCAUUGACCUUCUCAAGUUGACAGUUGACAGAGGAUGGUCACAAACUCUCCCCCGGCCUGCAGUUGCAGUUAUAAGAAAGAACACAGAGAGAUCCCAUGAGGCCUUUACCUAGUUUCCUUCAGUGGUAACAUCUUGCAGAACUCCAGUAUGAUAUCACAGUGUCAACUGACAUCGAUACAGCCCAGAUACAGGACGCUCCACCCCCACAGGAACCCUCCUGCUGCUAUCCGAUAGACACACCCACUUUCCUUCCACUCCAUCCCCUCCUUAACCUCUGACAAUCGUGAACCUGUCCCCCAUUUGUAUAAUUUUGUCAUUUCAAGCAUGUUAUAUAAACGGAAUUAUACAAUAUAUAACCUCUUGGGAUUGGCUUUUUCCAGGAGAAUUCCCUGUCAAUCCAUUCAGUUUGUUGUGUCAACAG